UUUAAAUCCCCGGCGCUCCUCCGUCUAGGUGACGCGCGGUCGCCCCCCCAGGCGGCCGGGGCCGCAGCGGCAGCAAGGGCAGGAUCGGAGCGCUGGGAGCGCAAGCAGCCUGCCCCGGCGGGGACUUCGGGUACCCCGCCCCUCCGGGAGGUGGGGGCUGGGCGGGAGACUCCCCCCGCCUCCGCCUCCUCCCCAUCCGGCUCGGAAAGGUGACCUGGCAGAGGUUUGUUCUUCUGGACCCAUCACCAGCUGGGAGAUUAAUCGACUACACUGAAAAUGUGCUGGGUAUUUGUGGGGGAGAUGCUUGGAAUGUAGAUGUUUGAGACAAAUGUGCAUAAAUAAAUGAAUUGUUGAUAACUUA